rnacentral:pre_miRNA from 1 species
UUGGAGAAUUUGAAGACUUCAACUUGUAAACUUGAAUAAUUUGAAAACUUCAAACUUGUAUAUCUGAAGAAUUUGAAGACUUCCAACU